UAAUUAAAAAUGAAUCAAUUUGAAAUUAAAAAAAAAAAGUUAUACUCAAAGGAUUUUAUUAUCAUUAAAAAGGAGAAGAUUGUUGAUUCUGGAUUAAUUUUGAUGAUAACAAAAUCAUUUGAGUAUAAAUUGUUAAGUUUCUAAUAUUGUUUAUGAGGAUGUAUAGUUUUAAGUUUCAAGAAGCUUACAAUUUUCAAAUAUUUUUUAACAUUCAAAUAAAGAAUCACCACCCA
rnacentral:lncRNA from 1 species